rnacentral:rRNA from 1 species
GGUGCUCGAGUGGCGAACGGGUGAGUAACAUGUGAGUAACCUGCCCUUGACUUUGGGAUAACUUCAGGAAACUGGGGCUAAUACCGGAUAGGAGCUCCUGCUGCAUGGUGGGGGUUGGAAAGUUUCGGCGGUUGGGGAUGGACUCGCGGCUUAUCAGCUUGUUGGUGGGGUAGUGGCUUACCAAGGCUUUGACGGGUAGCCGGCCUGAGAGGGUGACCGGCCACAUUGGGACUGAGGUACGGCCCAG